rnacentral:rRNA from 1 species
AUGCUAUUCAAAAUCGAAGGAUUUACCUCCUAUGGCGACCAACUGAUUGUCGAGGAGGCCAUGCUGCUGAUUCUGAAUGGACAACCUUUUGUUGGGGAGUUCAUGAUUUGUGACAACUACCUUGAGCUUCAACCCGGUGAGAUCUACAAAUUUGAUCCGGUUAACCUGAUCUACGGCCCUCCUCGAGGACACAUGGUCUUGUUUGUGGGGUACGGGGUAAGAAAUGGUGAGUUCUAUCUGGUAUUUCUUGAUUCCAAUGGCGAAGGAUUUUGCGAGGAUGGCUUUGGACGUGUCAGCUUUGGUGACGUCUACAACAUCUUUAGCAUUCACACGUAG